GACGAACGCUGGCGGCGUGCUUAACACAUGCAAGUCGAACGGAAAGGCCCUGCUUUUGUGGGGUGCUCGAGUGGCGAACGGGUGAGUAACACGUGAGUAACCUGCCCUUGACUUUGGGAUAACUUCAGGGAACUGGGGCUAAUACCGGAUAGGAGCUCCUGCUGCAUGGUGGGGGUUGGAAAGUUUCGGCGGUUGGGGAUGGACUCGCGGCUUAUCAGCUUGUUGGUGGGGUAGUGGCUUACCAAGGCUUUGACGGGUAGCCGGCCUGAGAGGGUGACCGGCCACAUUGGGACUGAGAUACGGCCCAGACUCCUACGGGAGGCAGCAGUGGGGAAUAUUGCACAAUGGGCGGGAGCCUGAUGCAGCAACGCCGCGUGCGGGAUGACGGCCUUCGGGUUGUAAACCGCUUUCGCCUGUGACGAAGCGUGAGUGACGGUAAUGGGUAAAGAAGCACCGGCUAACUACGUG
rnacentral:rRNA from 1 species